GUAGGUGAACCUGCGGAAGGAUCAUUACCGAGUGUAGGGUUCCUAGCGAGCCCAACCUCCCACCCGUGUUUACUGUACCUUAGUUGCUUCGGCGGGCCCGCCAUUCAUGGCCGCCGGGGGCUCUCAGCCCCGGGCCCGCGCCCGCCGGAGACACCACGAACUCUGUCUGAUCUAGUGAAGUCUGAGUUGAUUGUAUCGCAAUCAGUUAAAACUUUCAACAAUGGAUCUCUUGGUUCCGGCAUCGAUGAAGAACGCAGCGAAAUGCGAUAACUAGUGUGAAUUGCAGAAUUCCGUGAAUCAUCGAGUCUUUGAACGCACAUUGCGCCCCCUGGUAUUCCGGGGGGCAUGCCUGUCCGAGCGUCAUUGCUGCCCAUCAAGCACGGCUUGUGUGUUGGGUCGUCGUCCCCUCUCCGGGGGGGACGGGCCCCAAAGGCAGCGGCGGCACCGCGUCCGAUCCUCGAGCGUAUGGGGCUUUGUCACCCGCUCUGUAGGCCCGGCCGGCGCUUGCCGAACGCAAAUCAAUCU
rnacentral:rRNA from 1 species